GGGCGGAGCCAAGGCAGUACUGGAUGUCCUGCCAAAGACACAUUCUUCAGGGAUGUCUCAUCCUAAUCUUCCUUCCUUCGCUCUUGUCAUCUCUCAAGGUACGCUGUUAUGAAACCUACACUGAGGGCGCCUGGGUGGCUCAGUCGUUGGGCGUGUGCCUUUGGCUCAGGGCGUGAUCCCGGCGUUAUGGGAUCGAGGCCUGCAUCAGGCUCCUCCACUGGGAGCCUGCUUCCUUCUCCCACUCCCCCUGCUUGUGUUCCCUCUCUCACUGGCUGUCUCUCUGUCAAAUAAAUAAAUAAAAUCUUAAAAAAAAAAAAAAAAGAAACCUACACUGAGGUAUGACUACUUGAGUCACAGUUUUUCCCUAAGACAAAUGUUAUACCACUCAAAGUUCUGUACUUAAAAGCAAUGCAGCUGCAUUUCUUUUUAAAAUAACCUGUAUCUGGGGCACCUGGCUGGCUCAGUCAGUACAGCAUGUGACUCUUGAUCUUGGGGUUAUAAGUUUGAGCCCCACACUGAGUGUAGAGAUUACUUAAAAAUAAAAUCUUUUAAUAAAAUGAAAUAAAAUAACCUAUAUCUGGGAUUGCUUACCAAA